CCUACGGGUGGCUGCAGUGGGGGAUAUUGCACAAUGGGGGAAACCCUGAUGCAGCGACGCCGCGUGGGUGAAGAAGCGCCUCGGCGCGUAAAGCUCUGUCAGCAGGGAAGAAAAUGACGGUACAUGAAGAAGAAGCCCCGGCUAACUCCGCGCCAGCCGCCGCGGUAAUACGUAGGGGGCAAGCGUUAUCCGGAUUUACUGGGGGUAAAGGGGGCGCAGACGGCGAUGCAAGCCAGGAGUGAAAGCCCGGGGCCCAACCCCGGGACUGCUCUUGGAACUGCGUGGCUAGAGUGCAGGAGGGGCAGGCGGAAUUCCUGGUGUAGCGGUGAAAUGCGUAGAUAUCAGGAGGAACACCGGUGGCGAAGGCGGCCUGCUGGACUGCAACUGACGUUGAGGCCCGAAAGCGUGGGGAGCAAACAGGAUUAGAUACCCCAGUAGUC
rnacentral:rRNA from 1 species